AGGAAGCGGUAGCUGCUGACUGCGAAAUGAAGCGCAGCCGUCCGGCGUCUGCCCCGCCGGGGCGUCGGGGGGGAGGAGACGGAGCGAACCGCAGAAACCUGGGGAAGACCCGCAGACCGGCGAGGGAAGCGCACCGACGUUUCCCACGGAGGGGUCGUCUCCGGGCCCGCGGGAAGCUUAAGGAACUCUGCUCCGCGUUAAAGGUACAAUAGGGUGUGCACUCGCACGCUGCGUUGUCAGGAACAAAAGAUGGGCCCCAACAGUCAACGUGUUUUAACACGAGGGCAAGUGAACUCACGGUGCGAAUCAAAACGACAGGCUUGCCAAGUUCAAGUCCACGUUCAUCGCCUCUCGCAGGGCUCUGCACGCGGGUCAAGGAAGAAGAAGAUGCACAGCGGCAAUGGGUUCAUCUGCUACAGGCUGAAGAGUCAAACCCAGAGAACCAGCAGCAAUGGAUGCAUCUGCUACAGGCUGAUGAGUCACACACAGAGAAACAACAGCAAUGGAGGGAGACCAAGACCGAUGGAGGGAGACCAGGACCCACAGAGGGAGACCAGGACAGACAGAGGGAGACCAAGACCGAUGGAGGGAGACCAGGACCCACAGAGGGAGACCAGGACCCACAGAGGGAGACCAGCACCCACAGAGGGAGACCAGGACCCACAGAGGGAGACCAGGACAGACAGAGGGAGACCAGGACCCACAGAGGGAGACCAGGACCCACAGAGGGAGACCAGGACAGACAGAGGGAGACCAGGACCCACAGAGGGAGACCAGGACCCACAGAGGGAGACCAGGACAGACAGAGGGAGACCAGGACCCACAGAGGGAGACCAGGACAGACAGAGGGAGACCAGGACCCACAGAGGGAGACCAGGACAGACAGAGGGAGACCAGGACCCACAGAGGGAGACCAGGAUCCACAGAGGGAGACCAGGACAGACAGAGGGAGACCAGGACCCACAGAGGGUGACCAGGACAGACAGAGGGAGGCCAGCACAGACAGAGGGUGGAUCAGUGCUCGGCCUGCGGAUACCACAGACUGUUAGACUGAGUUAUGAGUACAAAAACAUUCACAUGACAUCCAGUAUAGGACCACUAU